rnacentral:lncRNA from 1 species
UAUUUUGGAAUUAUUAAGUAUUUACUUAAUACCUUUAAUUAAAGGCACUAAAUAAAUACCCAAAAUGUUUAUAUAAAAAAAUAAGUUUUAAAAAUUUUAAUAAGUAAAGGAGAUAAAAAUAAACCUGUUAAAAUUUAUUUCAUUAUUUUUGGGUACCUAUACAAUUUACAAUGAAUUAAAUGGUUUGGCUGUUACUUAAAUCUAUUUUUAAAACCGGAAAACUAAACCUUAUCGAAAAACCCCCUGGACUACCUUUUUUUUCC